rnacentral:rRNA from 1 species
UCGGGAAUUUUGGGCAAUGGGCGAAAGCCUGACCCAGCAACGUCGCGUGAAGGAUGAAGUAUUUCGGUAUGUAAACUUCGAAAGAAUAGGAAGAAUAAAUGACGGUACUAUUUAUAAGGUCCGGCUAGCUACGUGCCAGCAGCCGCGGUAAUACGUAGGGACCAAGCGUUGUUCGGAUUUACUGGGCGUAAAGGGCGCGUAGGCGGCAAUUCAAGUCAUCUGUGAAAUCUCCGGGCUUAACUCGGAACGGUCAGAUGAUACUGAUUUGCUAGAGUGCAGAAGGGGCAAUCGGAAUUCUUGGUGUAGCGGUGAAAUGCGUAGAUAUCAAGAGGAACACCUGAGGUGAAGACGGGUUGCUGGGCUGACACUGACGCUGAGGCGCGAAAGCCAGGGGAGCAAACGGGAUUAGAUACCCGGGUAGUCCCUGAGCGGGCUGGCAAGGCGCAU